AUGGUUGAGCAUCUCUUUGAGGAUAUCUUCACUUUGACCAGGAUCGAUCCUGAUGGGAAGAAGUUCGACAUAUUUAAUCGCAGCGAGGCUAGAUGCGAGCAGUUCGAUAUGUUGAUGGAAUUAGAUGUCGCUACUGAUGUCUACCCGAUUCAUACUGGUGAAAAUUUCACCAUGGUUUUGACUCCUACACUGAAUCUGGAUGGAACUCCAGACACUGGCUACUAUACAGAGGCUGGUAGGAAAACCCUUGCUGGCAAGUAUGACUAUGUCAUGCAUGGAAAGCUUUACAAGAUUUCAGAGGACAGUUCCAGUGGUCAUGCUACUAAAGUGUAUGAUCUCUGA
rnacentral:rRNA from 1 species